CUUACAUAUCGCUUGGUCAAUACUUAUGAAGGUUAAAAUUCAAUCCAUUCUGCUGGAUUUCACCCCAUCAUGACCAAUACACUCUUUUGCUGGGUCUCCAUUUUUCUCCUUGGAGCAGCUCCCACUGAAACAGGAAUCACUCAGACACCAAGAUACUUGGUCACAAGGGUGAAGCAGGAGGUGACACUGAGAUGUCAACAAAAUUUGGGGCAUAAUUACAUGUACUGGUAUCAACAGGCGCCACAGAAAGGACCCAAACUAAUGUUUUAUUAUACUUAUAAAGACUUGAAUUUAAAUGAGACCGUUCCUCCAAGAUUCGAACCUGCAUCAUCAGGGAAUGGUCACUUGACCCUCAAAAUCCACCCUGUGGAAGCAGAAGACUCAGCCACCUACCUCUGUAGCAGCAGCAGAGACACAGCCUUGCAGAGUUAUCUCCAAGCUGUGCAGAAACCCUCUGAGCCUGGCAUAGGAAGAAAGGAGGGAGGGAAAUAA